rnacentral:sRNA from 2 species
UACAUCUCACUCCAGACCCGAUCCAUAACUCCAUUAAAUGCCAGGUAAACGUUUGCCUUUACACACCCUGAGCGCAACGUCAGGGUUGCGGCACGCCGGAAAAUACGACACGGAACGACAGGAAGGGGUCAAUGGCCGGUACGCUAUACUUGUAAGCGUGGAAUUUUGGCCGAUCUUGACCAAAAGGGGAAGUGCUAAAAACAGUUAUCACGCUAAAUGGCGGGAGAUUUUUAGCCAAAUGUAUGCAAAAAUGCGCUACAUCACUUUUUGUGUGGGAAUAAAAAGGAGAAAACUUGAUGAGCAAUGAUCUGAAAUACUCUUUAAUUACGACCUUAAUCGUCCUCGCUUUGAUCGUUGCGGGUGGUCUGACCGCAGCUCUGCACUGAUUU